rnacentral:pre_miRNA from 1 species
AAAGUACUCCCUCCAUCCCAAAAUUCUUGUCUUAGAUUUUUCUAGAUACGGAUGUAUCAAGUCACAUUUUAGUAUUAGAUACAUCUGUAUCUAGAAAAAUCUAAGACAAGAAAUUUGGGACAGAGGGAGUAGUUG